rnacentral:lncRNA from 1 species
GUAGAAGAUAAUUAUAAAUGAUCAAUUACUUACAAGAAAAAGUAUUGGAUUCACCAGACAAAAUGAAACUGGAAAAAUUGCUGUGCUUGAAGUAUCUAGGCAGCAGAAUAGUGGAAAAUUUGUAAAAAUCCCAAACAAUAAAACUGUUUCUGACCCUAUUCCAUGAGAUCACUGAAUCUGUAGAGACCGAGAGAGAGAGAGAGUCAGAGAGAGAUGCAUUGUAAAUCUGGGCAGGGAAUGAAAGUGAAUGACAUAUCCAAACCCAAAGUAAACAACAUUUAAAUCACAUGAAGACAAGGUAAGUUAGGUAAUUCUCAUUUUGACACUUAAAUGCUAAUUGUCAUUUUGCUACUAAAAUGCCAAAAGAAUAUCUCAAUUUUUAUAAUCUCAUAGCUCUAAGCUUAAGAAAAUAAUUAGUUAAGCAUUCCUAUUACAAAACUAUAUCAAAAAAGAAAA